UUUAUGCUGUUGAAGAAGCUUGAGGUAGGAGGAGAAGUGAACGAGAGUGAGAGAGAUGAAUCUCUCUACUCUGUUCCAUACAUCUAAUCUCUUAUUUCCUCCUCUUCAUUCCUCUCCUUCUACAAGGUCUCAGCGGUUAUGUACUUUUUAACUUAAGCAUUUCGUCGAACAGAUGUUGGCUGGGACUAGUAUGACUGAGGAUGUUGCAAUUGAAGGUAAGAACCUCAACUUUUCUGUCGCAACGAAACAGGGGAAAUUGUCUCCCAUUCUUCAAGAUUGCUCUCUCCGGAUUCCUUCGGGAGAGCUGUGGAGGCUCUUUGGGCCGAAUGGUUGCGGCAAAUUCACCCUUUUGAAGGUGAACAAUUCACGUCCGUAUUUGUACUGGUUUUAGGGAUUCAAUUUGUUUGUUUAAGCUGAUGUUCAUAUUGGUGUAUCAGAUGGUCAAACUCACACCUGGUUGGGAUUAUUAGCCAUAUUGAAGUGAUAAAUUAGGAUGGACUUCAUGGAUGCAUUGUUUAUUUAUUUUUAGAAUUUUGGUCUCCUGAAAUACGAAAUUGAAGCAAUUGAUAAUUUGAUUACAUGUUGUGGAAUAGAUAGAUUUUGGCUGGUCUUUUGAAUCCAAAAAGUGGUACAUUGUAUGUGAAGAGGUCCAGGAGUUUCCUUUUCCAAAAUCCAGAUCAUUAGACCACUGUUGAGGUUACCCACCUUCUGGUUAGUGAUGACAUUGAGUGGAUUUUUGGGCCUGGCAAUUAGCUUCACUUCUAUGUGGUUUCUUCAUCAAACAGGUGCCACAACGUACAGCCUUGUUGGGUCAUUGAAUAAGAUCCCUUUGUCUGUUGCUGGCAUCCUUCUUUUCCAUGUUCCUACGAGCUUGGAGAAUGCUACAAGCAUCUUCUUUGGACUUGUAGCUGGAGUAUUCUUUGCUAGAGCCAAGAUGCGGAACAAAUCUCAGCCUGAAAGGUAGUGACUACACUAUGAAUUUGUUGUAUACUUCUCGCACCCGCCAAAAUAUUUCAGUGUGCGGGGCGAGGGAACGUCGCAGUAGUUUGAGGACGCUAAGAUCAGUUGAAGUUUGUAGCUAUUGAGACUCGACAGAAAACCAUGGGCAGUCUUUCAGAAAUGUUAUCAUUUGAAACAUUUCUUUUGUUGUUUUUGAGCAUCUCCCUCCACCUGCAUGUAUGUAUCCAAGUCGGAUCAAACCCCAGCCUUGCCUACCUCAUUUUGUAUAAUUUGUAAUGAAGAUUCAGGUUAUGUACGUUUUUAAAGUAGAUUUUCUUAGCA